rnacentral:rRNA from 1 species
UGGGGAAUUUUGGACAAUGGGGGAAACCCUGAUCCAGCCAUCCCGCGUGUGCGAUGAAGGCCUUCGGGUUGUAAAGCACUUUUGGCAGGAAAGAAACGUCGCGGGUUAAUACCCCGCGAAACUGACGGUACCUGCAGAAUAAGCACCGGCUAACUACGUGCCAGCAGCCGCGGUAAUACGUAGGGUGCAAGCGUUAAUCGGAAUUACUGGGCGUAAAGCGUGCGCAGGCGGUUCGGAAAGAAAGAUGUGAAAUCCCAGAGCUUAACUUUGGAACUGCAUUUUUAACUACCGGGCUAGAGUGUGUCAGAGGGAGGUGGAAUUCCGCGUGUAGCAGUGAAAUGCGUAGAUAUGCGGAGGAACACCGAUGGCGAAGGCAGCCUCCUGGGAUAACACUGACGCUCAUGCACGAAAGCGUGGGGAGCAAACAGGAUUAGAUACCCUGGUAGUCCACGCCCUAAACGAUGUCAACUAGCUGUUGGGGCCUUCGGGCCUUGGUAGCGCAGCUAACGCGUGAAGUUGACCGCCUGGGGAGUACGGUCGCAAGAUUAAAACUUAAAGGAAUUG